AUAAGACCCCUUGAAGACGACGAGGUAGAUAGGGCAGAGGUGGAAGUGCAGUAAUGUAUGGAGCUGACUGUCACUAAUAGGUCGAAGGCUUGACCAAAA
rnacentral:rRNA from 1 species